ACUCCUACGGGAGGCAGCAGUGGGGAAUAUUGCACAAUGGGGGAAACCCUGAUGCAGCCAUGCCGCGUGUGUGAAGAAGGCCUUCGGGUUGUAAAGUACUUUCAGCAGUGAGGAAGGUAGUGUAGUUAAUAGCUGCAUUAUUUGACGUUAGCUGCAGAAGAAGCACCGGCUAACUCCGUGCCAGCAGCCGCGGUAAUACGGAGGGUGCGAGCGUUAAUCGGAAUUACUGGGCGUAAAGCGCAUGCAGGUGGUUUGUUAAGUCAGAUGUGAAAGCCCGGGGCUCAACCUCGGAACUGCAUUUGAAACUGGCAGACUAGAGUACUGUAGAGGGGUGAGAAGUUUCAGGUGNAGCGGUGAAAUGCGUAGAGAUCUGAAGGAAUACCGGUGGCGAAGGCGGCCCCUGCGCAGAUACUGACACUCAGAUGCGAAAGCGUGGGGAGCAAACAGGAUUAUAUACCCUGGUAGGCUCU
rnacentral:rRNA from 1 species